GAUGGGGAUGCGUUCCAUUAGUUAGUUGGCGGGGUAACGGCCCACCAAGACAACGAUGGAUAGGGGUUCUGAGAGGAAGGUCCCCCACAUUGGAACUGAGACACGGUCCAAACUCCUACGGGAGGCAGCAGUGAGGAAUAUUGGUCAAUGGACGAGAGUCUGAACCAGCCAAGUAGCGUGAAGGAUGACUGCCCUAUGGGUUGUAAACUUCUUUUAUAUGGGAAUAAAAUGUUCCACGUGUGGGAUUUUGUAUGUACCAUAUGAAUAAGGAUCGGCUAACUCCGUGCCAGCAGCCGCGGUAAUACGGAGGAUCCGAGCGUUAUCCGGAUUUAUUGGGUUUAAAGGGAGCGUAGGUGGAUUGUUAAGUCAGUUGUGAAAGUUUGCGGCUCAACCGUAAAAUUGCAGUUGAAACUGGCAGUCUUGAGUACAGUAGAGGUGGGCGGAAUUCGUGGUGUAGCGGUGAAAUGCUUAGAUAUCACGAAGAACUCCGAUUGCGAAGGCAGCUCACUGGACUGCAACUGACACUGAUGCUCGAAAGUGUGGGUAUCAAACAGGAUUAGAUACCCUGGUAGUCCACACAGUAAACGAUGAAUACUCGCUGUUUGCGAUAUAC
rnacentral:rRNA from 1 species